UCCCCGAUAGCUCAAUCGGCAGAGCGGAUGGCUGUUAACCAUUAGGUUGUAGGUUCGAGUCCUACUCGGGGAGCCA
rnacentral:tRNA from 2 species